UAUUGGUUUUACUAGUGAUCUAAGAAUGAUAUAUAAAAAUCUGAGAUCACUAUGAAAGCUGGUA
ncrna:Schmidtea mediterranea bantam-a stem-loop (sme-bantam-a)